rnacentral:lncRNA from 1 species
UUGUAAAAAUAAUUCACAACAAAAAAAAUGAACCACGAAAUCAGAAUUACGAACGGACCUCAAACUCUAACUUCUUGUCUCAAUUUUUCCCAGUUGGCGUACGUUUCCUCUUGUUUAUUGUGGUUUUCUCUUUUGUUUUGUUAUGCUCCUCAAAUGUUAGUCUUUCUUUGUUUUCUAAGUGUUUUUGUUUUUGUCCCCUUGUGUUGUCCCCCUUCCGUGUGUUGUGGUGUGAGUAGUAUAUAGAGGUAUAGGGUGGGAAGUUGAGAGAGUU